GUGAAUCAUCGAAUUUUUGAACGCAAAUUGCGCUUCCUGGCAUCCCGGGAAGUAUGCCUGUUUGAGCGUCAUUAUUCACAAAAAAUCAGUUUGGUUGCAAAGUGUGACGUUUCCGGAGGUGGGGCUAUCUGAAAUUCUUUGGGUAACGGGCUUAAAAUUGACCGUAUUUGCGCGUUUUUAGACGUACAUAAAUGUUUUUUUUAUUCGUCUAUUCUUAAUGCCAAAAUCAU
rnacentral:misc_RNA from 1 species